AAAUUGAAUCGGUGCUUGUUAAACGGCACUGUUCGUGAAUCACUAUCUCUGAACUCAAGCAAAGUUCAAAAUCACUAAACCAAAACCCUAGGUUCUCCCUGCAACGAUUCUGAGACAGUGCCGCCCCCGUCCGUGCUGUCGACGCCUCCGUGUCCUCUCUUGUAGCCCAGGCCCUCUCUUGUAGCUCGGCGUCCUCCUUCCCGCUGUCCCCGUUCUCCCUGGCUUCUCUGUUCGAGGUUGGAGUAGCUUGCCACCGUGUCGCCGGUCGCCGGUCGCCGUUCGUGUCUCCACCGAAGGUUAGUGGCUAGAAGAUUUCGAAUCUUUUGCCAUCGCUCCGAGAUCUCUGAUGGCUUGUCAAGGGGAAAGAAACUGGACAAAAUGGAAAAAUUGGUAAAAACAGUAAAUAAGCUGUGGAAAACAAAUAUGAGACAUCAAGAUUCGUCUCAGGUUCUGAACAAAGAUAUUAUAUAUCAUUUUGUUCCCUGUCUUGUGUAUUGCAGAAUGGAGGAAUUGAGGAAAUGGUUUCUUUCUUUGGAAUCUGCACUCUUUCACCACUGAUUUUGUAAUCAAACUGCUGAAGCUCAGGUAGUAUCUACCUACACGUCAUGGUUUUAUAUUUCAAGUAUGGUAUUUACUUAUCAUUUACAUUGCUUAUAAGUGCACAUCGGGCCAUCAUGGAAGAAUUUGACCUUCCUUGCAAGGCUAUAAGCAAUGUAGAAUUUGAGGUAACGUUCUUGUUGCUCUUGUAUUCAAAAUUGUUAUCCAAAUUGAAUUAAGUAGCCACAGGUGCCACUUAUUGCCUAAUAAUUAGAAUCUUUCAAUUUUCAAAGCUUGAAAGAAAAAUUGGGACAAAUUGCACGUUCUAUUGGUCAUAACCUAUCUUUAUCCACUAGUAAGAUUGCUUUAACUCUUUUCAACAGAAUUAUGUGCAUGCUCAAUACUGUAUAGUGAAUUAAACCUUGCUAAGAAUAUGCGAAUCCACUACCAAUGUGAAUCCACUACCAAUGUGGCCAUUCUUAAAGUGGUUUAUUUGUACUACCACUCUGUUCUAAAGAAAUAAUAUCGUCAAUUUUUAAAAGUUGUCGUUUGUUUUUCUAGUUGAAUUUUACAAGUUAUUUCGUGUUUUUUGUUGGUUUAUUUAAAACUAAUUGCCCAUGCUUUUUCUUUUAUUGAUGAUGGUGUGUUUCAUCAUGUUAGCUUUGCAUAUUUUGCAACUUUGAUGUUAAUUGAUCUUUUUUCUUACAUGUGGAUAUUUGUUACUAGCUCCAUAUCAUUCUUCUAAAGCUACAUAGUUCGAGAUACACAAGUGCUUUUCCAAGGAUAAUGUUGGGGCGCAAAAAUGUCUUGGAUGAGGCUCGAUUUUAGUAUCAAACCAAUGAAGCAAAUCAACUGCAGUUGUUUGGGAAUAGUGAGUUUUCGCGUUCCUUUUUUCAUGGAAUAAUGGAAGUAGCUACUGACCCUGACUAUAGGUUCGAUCUAGCCAUGCAGCCUGGGAGAUUAGAGGUUGCAAAGAGAAUUGCCACGGAAGUACAGAUUGAGUCUAAAUGGAAGCAGUUGGGAGAAUUAUCCAUGUCUACUGGAAAGAGGACAAGAGUUGUUUGUGAAGCAAUUGUUGAAGCUGGAUACUAUUAAGGUUGAAGGUAAAACGAAAUUGCAGAGAAAAGUUGAGGAUUAAGUUACAAGUACAAUUGUUAGCUUUAUAUGUUUGGAUUAAGUUAGGAUUUUUUGAAUUUAGAUUUUAUGGAGUACGACUAUGUAAAACUUGUAGAAUUCAACUUUUAAAAUAUAUUAUUUCUAAUUUGUAAAACUUGU